UACGAAGGGGGCUAGCGUUGCUCGGAAUCACUGGGCGUAAAGCGCACGUAGGCGGCUUUCUAAGUCAGGGGUGAAAUCCUGGAGCUCAACUCCAGAACUGCCUUUGAUACUGGGGAGCUCGAGUCCGGAAGAGGUGAGUGGAACUCCGAGUGUAGAGGUGAAAUUCGUAGAUAUUCGGAAGAACACCAGUGGCGAAGGCGGCUCACUGGUCCGGUACUGACGCUGAGGUGCGAAAGCGUGGGGAGCAAACAGGAUUAAGAA
rnacentral:rRNA from 1 species